UACGUAGGGGGCAAGCGUUGUCCGGAUUUACUGGGCGUAAAGCGCGCGCAGGCGGUUCGUUAAGUCCGGCGUGAAAGCUCCCGGCUCAACUGGGAGAGGUCAUUGGAUACUGGCGGACUUGAGGGAUGCAGAGGAAGGUGGAAUUCCCGGUGUAGUGGUGAAAUGCGUAGAGAUCGGGAGGAACACCAGUGGCGAAGGCGGCCUUCUGGGCAUUUCCUGACGCUGAGGCGCGAAAGCGUGGGGAGCGAACCGG
rnacentral:rRNA from 1 species